rfam:Salmo salar isolate Sally breed double haploid chromosome ssa18, whole genome shotgun sequence.
GCAUAUUCUAUUUGUAAGUCACUCUGGAUAAGAGCGUCUGCUAAAUGACUUAAA